GGGAUCUGCGUUAAAGACCACACGAAUAAGGAACUUUGAAUUGUCAUAUCGGCUGGUGUUCCUCUUUCUCUUGCAAGCGAUGACAACACAAACCGCAGCUGUUACCAUGGCAAUCAGGACUCAGGAUGUGAACUCUGGACCCGGCUGUCAUUGUUCUUUGUGCGUCCACCGUCCACCUCGACCACCUCCCUGCAACUUCCUUUACUCGAAAAAAAACAAACAUUACCUCAGAGCCUCAUCCAGCCAGCAACUAUGUAUUUCACCACAACAUAAUUGGGAGAAGCAAUCUCGUGCUAUAUAAAUGUUAUUUGUAGGAGACAUGUUUUUUGCCUUGAAAACUAAACAAUUUUUUUCUACCACGACUGUGAGUGGUGGAGGAAAAAACUGAAAAACCAGAAAAUGAAAAUAAAAAAUCCAGUAGAAGGGCACGGUGAGUUAAGAAUGUAUCGUCAAAUCAAAAACUGUGAAUCAAAUCAAAGUUGAUUUUAUUCAUGAUAUUCCUCAAAUCCCAAAUUUGUGUCAGAAGCAAACGCCUUGUGAUAAGAAAAUGGCUUGUA